rnacentral:rRNA from 1 species
AACGAACGCUGGCGGCAGGCUUAACACAUGCAAGUCGAACGCCCCGCAAGGGGAGUGGCAGACGGGUGAGUAACGCGUGGGAAUCUACCCAUCUCUAGGGGAUAACACAGAGAAAUUUGUGCUAAUACCCUAUACGUCCUCCGGGAGAAAGAUUUAUCGGGGAUGGAUGAGCCCGCGUAGGAUUAGCUAGUUGGUGGGGUAAUGGCCCAUCAAGGCGACGAUCCUUAGCUGGUCUGAGAGGAUGACCAGCCACACUGGGACUGAGACACGGCCCAGACUCCUACGGGAGGCAGCAGUGGGGAAUAUUGGACAAUGGGCGCAAGCCUGAUCCAGCCAUGCCGCGUGAGUGAUGACGGCCUUAGGGUUGUAAAGCUCUUUCACCCACGACGAUAAUGACGGUAGUGGGAGAAGAAGCCCCGGCUAACUUCGUGCCAGCCGCCGCCGUAAGAC